UCGAGAGGCUUCGGCAAUGGGGGAAACCCUGACCGAGCGACGCCGCGUGGGGGAUGACGGCCCUUGGGUUGUAAACCCCUUUCGACCGGGAAGAAUGUUCGCGGGACUAAUAAGCUCGCGGAUUGACGGUACCGGUAGAAGAAGCUCCGGCUAACUCCGUGCCAGCAGCCGCGGUAAUACGGGGGGAGCAAACGUUGUUCGGAAUCACUGGGCGUAAAGGGCGUGUAGGCGGUUCGGUAAGUGGAAUGUGAAAUCCCCCGGCUUACCCGGGGAACUGCAUCCCAUACUGCUGGACUUGAGUGCGGGAGAGGAUGGAGGAAUUCCUGGUGUAGCGGUGAAAUGCGUAGAUAUCAGGAGGAACACCUGUGGCGAAGGCGUCCAUCUGGCCCGUUACUGACGCUGAUGCGCGAAAGCUAGGGGAGCAAACG
rnacentral:rRNA from 1 species